rnacentral:tRNA from 1 species
GGUUAUAGCUCAGUCGAUACAGUGCUAGCCUGGCAUGCACAAGGCCCUGGGUUCAAUCCCCAGCACCA